rnacentral:RNase_P_RNA from 1 species
AGAGGCGAUUAAAUGGUCGCGUGCCGCAAGGCAUGAGGAAAGUCCGAGCGCCACAGGGCAGGGUGCCAGCUAACGGCUGGUGGAGGCGACUCCAAGGCAAGUGCAACAGAAAUAAACCGCCGAGCAUCGCUCGGUAAGGGUGGAAAGGUGCGGUAAGAGCGCACCGGCGGCUAUGGCAACUUAGUCGUCCUGUAAACCCCACUUGGCGCAAGAUAACUGAGGGCAUAGGUGGCCCGCCAGCCUUCGACCAUCGCUUGAGCAACCUGGCGACUUGUUGCCCAGAUAGAUGACCAUUCUCGACAGAACUCGGCUUACAAUCGCGCUCUUUUC